rfam:Schistosoma rodhaini strain Burundi genome assembly, scaffold: SROB_scaffold0006105
AUCCAGCUGACAAGUCCCAAAUAGGACAACGAAACGAGCGUCAAACUGGAU